rnacentral:rRNA from 1 species
AACGAACGCUGGCGGCAUGCCUAACACAUGCAAGUCGAACGAGACCUUCGGGUCUAGUGGCGCACGGGUGCGUAACGCGUGGGAACCUGCCCUUAGGUUCGGAAUAACUCCCCGAAAGGGGUGCUAAUACCGGAUAAUGUUUUCGGACCAAAGAUUUAUCGCCUUUGGAUGGGCCCGCGUUGGAUUAGCUAGUUGGUAGGGUAAAAGCCUACCAAGGCGACGAUCCAUAGCUGGUCUGAGAGGAUGAUCAGCCACACUGGGACUGAGACACGGCCCAGACUCCUACGGGAGGCAGCAGUUGGGAAUAUUGGACAAUGGGCGAAAGCCUGAUCCAGCAAUGCCGCGUGAGUGAUGAAGGCCUUAGGGUUGUAAAGCUCUUUUACCCGGGAUGAUAAUGACAGUACCGGGAGAAUAAGCUCCGGCUAACUCCGUG